rnacentral:rRNA from 1 species
UAGAGUUUGAUCCGUGCUCAGGACGAACGCUGCGGCGUGCUUAACACAUGCAAGUCGAACGGAAAGGCCCCUGCUUGCAGGGGUACUCGAGUGGCGAACGGGUGAGUAACACGUGGGUGAUCUGCCCUUCACUUCGGGAUAAGCCUGGGAAACUGGGUCUAAUACCGGAUAGGACCAAUCUUUAGUGUGGUUGGUGGAAAGUUUUUUCGGUGGAGGAUGAGCCCGCGGCCUAUCAGCUUGUUGUGGGGUAAUGGCCUACCAAGGCGACGACGGGUAGCCGGCCUGAGAGGGUGGACGGCCACAUUGGGACUGAGACACGGCCCAGACUCCUACGGGAGGCAGCAGUGGGGAAUAUUGCACAAUGGGCGGAAGCCUGAUGCAGCGACGCCGCGUGAGGGAUGACGGCCUUCGGGUUAGUAAACCUCUUUCGCUAGGGAAGAAGCCUUCGGGUGACGGUACCUGGAUAAGAAGCACCGGCUAACUACGUG